rnacentral:sRNA from 1 species
AACCUAACCUGACUAGGACUUGUCCGAAAGGCAUGGUUGCAAAUCUCAACAAAGGUACGACGCUCGUCGUUUAGGUAUUCUUUGUUGAGUCAUAACUGGAAACGGUUGUGGGUGAUCUUCGGGUCAUC